UACGGGGGGGGCAAGCGUUGUUCGGAAUUACUGGGCGUAAAGGGUUUGUAGGUGGCCUGCUAAGUCAGACGUGAAAUCCCUCAGCUUAACUGGGGAACUGCGUCUGAGACUGGCAAGCUUGAGUGCAGGAGAGGAACGCGGAAUUCCAGGUGUAGCGGUGAAAUGCGUAGAUAUCAGGAGGAACACCGGUGGCGAAGGCGGCUACCUGGACAGAGUCUGACGCUGAGGCACGAAAGCUAGGGGAGCAAACAGG
rnacentral:rRNA from 1 species